GAUGAACGCUAGCGGCAGGCCUAACACAUGCAAGUCGAGGGGUAGCAGAAUUAAGCUUGCUUAAUUGCUGACGACCGGCGCACGGGUGCGUAACGCGUAUGCAACCUACCUUAUACUGGGGUAUAGCCCGGAGAAAUUCGGAUUAAUCCCCCAUAGUACUAAUGAAUCGCAUGGUUUAUUAGUUAAAGCAUUGCGGUAUAAGAUGGGCAUGCGCCCUAUUAGCUAGAUGGUGAGGUAACGGCUCACCAUGGCUACGAUAGGUAGGGGGCCUGAGAGGGUGGUCCCCCACACUGGUACUGAGACACGGACCAGACUCCUACGGGAGGCAGCAGUGAGGAAUAUUGGUCAAUGGGCGCAAGCCUGAACCAGCCAUGCCGCGUGCAGGAAGAAUGCCCUAUGGGUUGUAAACUGCUUUUAUUUGGGAAUAAACCUCUUUACGUGUAGAGAGCUGAAGGUACCAAAUGAAUAAGCACCGGCUAACUCCGUGCCAGCAGCCGCAGUAA
rnacentral:rRNA from 1 species